AUGUUUGCCUUUACAGUCGAUCUGGGAGUCAGCAUCCAGGAGGAUAAUGUGGCCGCUUCUUCCCCCGAGACAAUGGAGACCGGCGCGGCUGCAGAGGCCAACGGCGAGAGUCUUGGGAAGGAGGCCAAACCCCAGGCACCAGCUGCUAAAUCUCGCUUUUUCUUGACGCUCUCUCGGCCUGUACCAGGGCGUACCGGAGACCAAGCCACGGAUUCAUCCAGUAGGUCCGUGAGGCUUGAUGUCAGCUCCGAUAAAGCUCCAGGAAACAAAGACCCGAGUGAGCCCAUGGCCCUUCCGGUGGCAGCUGCACCCGGGCAUGGCCCGGAUAAAACCCCCGGGCAGACCCCGGCCCAGGCGGAGGGCCUCCCUGCCACCCCUGGGCCGGAGCACCCUCCGUCUGAGUCUGGGGCAGCAGCCCCCGCCAAGCCCAAGGACUCCAGCUUCUUUGACAAACUCUUCAAGCUGGACAAGGGACGGGACAGAGCCCCCGUGGACCUCCCACAGGAGGCUGAGAGCACAGAGCACCCUCACUCGGCCGCCGAAACUCCUGGGUUACCCACGCAGUCCGAGGAUGGCCCUGCAGAGAGGGACUUAGUUGACGGCAAGGGAAAGGGAGGACAGGAAGUCCCAGCUGUGAGCCGCUCCGUCCCCGGGGACCCUGAGCAACUGGAGAUUGCAAAGGAGGACGCCCAGGCAGAGAACAGUUCCAUCAUGAGCUUCUUUAAAACCCUGGUUUCGCCUAACAAAGCUGAAACAAAAAAAGAUACGGAAGACACGGCAUCUAAGGGAGAAAGUGUCUCUGAUGGACAAGCCGGGCAGAAGACAUCCGAGGUCCAGGCUAAAGGCGCCAAGAAAAAGCACCUGCAUAGCCCCAGGCUAGGACUCGCCUUCAGAAAAUUCUUUAGGCAUAAGGGAGAGGAAAAGUCAGCCGCCUCUUCAGCCAACCUCAAGUUAGACAAAGCCAACAUUACGCUCCAGGAGCCCCAGGGGGCCGCCAAGAAUUCGACAGCCACUGAAACAGCAAAGGAUGGUGCCAAGGAAAAAGGGGGCCCCAGCUCUCUGCCUCUGGGCAAACUGUUCUGGAAAAAGACCUCGGACCCCACGGAGAAGGUGGUCUCUCCGCCACAGCCGGAAGCGGCAGCUGCGGGCCAGAAGGGCAAAGAAGGCCCGUCCAAGGGCAAGAAGGCCGCCGCGGAGCCCAACAAGCAGAAGGGCGACAAGCAGGAAGCCAAAGAGCCGGCCCCGGGCGUGGAGCCGGCCGCCGCGGAGGCGAACUCGCUGCCGAACGGGGACAAGCCCCAGAAGAGACCCGAGAAGCGGCGGCAGUCCCUCGGGGGCUUCUUCAAGGGCCUGGGACCGAAGCGGAUGCUGGAUGCUCAAGUGCAAACAGACCCCGUGUGCAUCGGGCCAGCGGGCAAAUCCAAGUGCACAUGGAAGUGUCUCCGUGGCCUUUGCAGGACCUGGGCUGUCGAGCUGAACUGGCCACCGUCAGGGAAAACCAACAACAACAACAGGGAAACGCUGCUUGCCAGAUCCAGCCAACGGCGACGUCUGGACUGA
rnacentral:lncRNA from 1 species